rnacentral:lncRNA from 1 species
AAAAAAACGAGGGGAUAAGCUGCCCACCAACCAAUAUAUCAAGAACACCGCUUCUCCGUUGCCAAAACCCCUCCCGCAAAUCAGUCUGUAGUAGUUGGAAGAAAGCCAUUAGGGAUUCUCAAUUCCUAUCCUCAUAAGCUUCUACAGUAGUCAAAGCUUCAGUCUUGAAACCCUAUCCGUUUCUCCGAUAUGGCUUCUUCGGCUGCCCAGAUUCAUGUCCUCGGAGCCAUGGGCUUCAGCAGCUCCUCAUCGAAGAAACCCACCUUCUCUUUCGCCCCCAAGGCGGCGUU